ACUUACCAAAUUAGAUAAUAUCUAAUUUGUUAAGUAUCCAGCUCAAAAAAAUAUUAAAUUUAAAUUUUAAUUUUUGAAGUUGGUAUUGUAAUAUAAAAUAUUAAUUUUCAAAUUUAUAUUAAAUUUUUAAAUUUAAAUCUAAAUUGAACUUUUAAUCUUAAAGCCAAAUUUUAAUUUUUGAUUUAAAUUGAAAUUUUGAAUUGGAAUUAAAAGUUUUAUUUUAAAUUUGUGUUUUAUAUUUAAAAAAAUUGAAUUUGAUUUAUAA
rnacentral:lncRNA from 1 species